rnacentral:rRNA from 1 species
CGAAUGCUGACAUAAGUAACGAUAAAGCGGGUGAAAAGCCCGCUCGCCGGAAGACCAAGGGUUCCUGUCCAACGUUAAUCGGGGCAGGGUGAGUCGACCCCUAAGGCGAGGCCGAAAGGCGUAGUCGAUGGGAAACAGGUUAAUAUUCCUGUACUUGGUGUUACUGCGAAGGGGGGACGGAGAAGGCUAUGUUGGCCGGGCGACGGUUGUCCCGGUUUAAGCGUGUAGGCUGGUUUUCCAGGCAAAUCCGGAAAAUCAAGGCUGAGGCGUGAUGACGAGGCACUACGGUGCUGAAGCAACAAAUGCCCUGCUUCCAGGAAAAGCCUCUAAGCAUCAGGUAACAUCAAAUCGUACCCCAAACCGACACAGGUGGUCAGGUAGAGAAUACCAAGGCGCUUGAGAGAACUCGGGUGAAGGAACUAGGCA